CUGAGCCAUAAGUGUGGUGACAAGGAGAUGCAUUCUCGUACCUAUGGUACCCGUGCUGGUCACCAGGAUGCAGCGUUAACCUACUUGGGAGAAAAGGGAUGAUUCCCUCACGUCCAGGCACAGGUGAAAUGUGACCCCUGUGUUUGUGCAGCGUUACUGAGCUGUGGCAUUGUUAGUCCUCACAUCUAGGCACCACGUUGUUCUCUUCCAAGCAGGCAUAGAUGGGAGACAUGUGGGAGGAAAAGGGAGGUGAAUUUAAUUUUUCAUUUAUUUUACUAGAGGAUUCCCCCACCUGCAAAGCUCCUUCUCUGAAUGUGGGAAAUCCCUGUUUUCCUCCUGUUCUCCUCGCUCUCCCAUUGCAGCAGCUUUGUCUCCAGGAGACGGCCAGCUUAUCUUCCGAAGUCACCCCCUUUGCAAGCCAGUGGAGGUACUGAAAGGGUUAUUGUCAACUUCUCCCCACAGCUGAAAGUGGCUGCUCCAGUUGGGCAUGUAGUUUUUUAAACAGGGCUCGGAGUAACGUGAGUUUCUAGGCCGAGAAUAUAGUAAACAAUUUACUAAGAAUAAAGUCAGGGUGUGCCCAGGAAAAUGUGUUCCAUCAUCCCUUAUUUUCAGUGAGCUGUAAGUAAACAGUAUGGGAUAAUGCCAUGCUACAUAACAUAAGCUGUCACAAGCUCCUGCCCGAGUGGACAAGGUCCAACUGCCUGGGAAACCUGAACAUUCCCAGUUAGCAAACCUUUCUGAAAAAGGGAAUUGCAAAAAGUUUUCUUUUUUCUCUGAGAAUUCAAUUGUUCUAAAAAAAUGAUGCAUUUUCAAAAUGAGUGCCUGGUUGAAGGAAAAAAAAAUGGAAAGCGGUGGGAAACUGCCAUGGAGAAAUUACAUCUACUUUUUACAGGACGUGAUUCUUCCAUUUUUCCUCCUUGAAUUAUCUAUCCUCACGUGAACAGCUCUACCAGAUCGGUGUGGGAGGCAGAAAGCACUGCCUGGGAGUCAGGGCCCACAGCACCCCUGAGCUUACAGCUUUCCUGAAGCAAAUACGGUUAUUUUCCAAAAGAGGAAUUGGGACAAGCAGUGAAAAAACACGUGCUAUUGUGCAGCUCGUCGUGUUACAGUCCCACCUGGAUGGAUGUAAGUCAGUGCCUAUGUUGGUGUCCACCCUCAGUGCAAGAAAAAGGAGGGAAAGAAGGAAGCGGCCUAGGAGACAGCGUGUUUGGUCUUGUGCUGAGUGAGUGGCAGAUAGUGUCCACUCAGGAAGAAAUGCCAGCAUUUCCUGGGAGAGGAGUAAAGGUGAAAAAGGCCAGUUAUUGGGAGAAUUGGCCAGCAGCCGUGACACUAUCAGUUAUUUCACCUCAACGUGCAGAAUAUAUAGUCAGCAGUAUUUAACGAGUUAAGAAGCCAAAAAAAAAAAAGAGAGAUGAAUUAGCAGAGUGACAUGUAGGCUUUAAAAAAAACGGUCCACUGUUGGUUCCCAGACUCACCCUCAUCAGAGCAACGCUUCUCAGUCACCCUCCUUACCCUCAUGGGAACAUCUGCUGGGGAAGCAUGAUACGGCACAGAGUCUCCCAGAUUUUCACCCACCUCUAUGGACACCUGUCCCUGGAAAGGGUCCACAGCUGAUUCCACUGCUACACUGCUCCUCCCGCCUUGUUUCCUAUGAUGCACCAGAUGAGUGCUCCUGGGGAGUACAGAAGGUGAAAAUUGGGAGGCAGAGCAGAAGGCAGAGGAAUGAACCUGAGUCUGAGCAGCAGACGUGACCACUAGGUGGGCUGGCCACUGUCUUUUGGCACUUGGAUGAUCACAAAGUUCAUCACGGAGCAAAGAAAGGAGAUGUCAGGGCCUGUCAAUGGAGUGUGUCAGAGCCCCUGUUCAGGACAGCAGGACGCGGUCCAAGCAAAGCGAGCAUCACUUCUCAGUUUGGCCACCUUCCAUACGAUGGAGCAAUGUACCUGGUGGGCUGACUUAGGCUUGCAUCAGCACCCUGAACCAGAUUGCAUCUGCGGUCAUCUGGAACUGACUACAUGCCUGAACUGAUAAAAGAGGCUGUGGAAACACGGAUCUCUGGGGCGAGAUGCUUUUGCUGUAUCCUGUCUCUUUAUUGCCUGGUCCUCUGGAAGACGCAAGAGUGAGAAUCAGUGGUAUGUCCUUACCCUGCAAACAGUCUGAGAACUGCUUUGACAACCGAUGGAACAAAACAGUGUGAUGUGGCCACAGCUCAUGCUCUUUCUAACAAGUUACAAUUGCUCUGUGGUCCCAAGGAGAGCUGCUCGAACCUCCCUCUGAUCAACUGUGUUCUUUUCUCUGACUGUAACAGCAUUGUUUCUUUUGGCCACACAAUGUUCAUGCAAAAAUGCAGAUGAAAGCAGGUUUACUACUUUAAUCUUAAGGAAAAUCAAGGAAAGGUAAGGUAGGUCCCUGCGAGGAUGGAUGCCUCCUGUUGUGGAAUAGAGUGAAAUCCAGUGACAUGCUCCCUCCCAUUAGAUCUGAUACAACUGCUGGAUGAUCAAGAGUAGUGUCUAAAGAUCAACCAUAAACCUAUAGGUCAGGCAGUAAGACUGUGACUUGACAUUUCUCGUUGCAGUGUUUGAUAGUUUCAUGCCUUUAAUCUGCAUCACUGCAGGCAGUAUAUUAUUGAAUCCAAUGAGGUUUGAAUCCCACUAUGAAUUUCAUUGUUUUCCACAAGUGGAUUAUGAAGAGAAACCUUUGAUUUCUAUUAAUUAUGUCUCUGAAUGGAGGGCUAUUGUAUGUAUAUAUAUAUAUAUUUAAUAACAGGAAAUGUAGCAAACAUUUAUUUUUAUUAAAUUAAUAAACCAGAUAAACCUAUCAAA